rnacentral:misc_RNA from 1 species
GAUGAAGAACGUAGCGAAAUGCGAUAAGUAGUGUGAAUUGCAGAAUUCAGUGAAUCAUCGAAUCUUUGAACGCACAUUGCGCCUCCUGGUAUUCCGGGAGGCAUGCCUGUUCGAGCGUCAUUAAAAACCAUCAAGCACGGCUUGUGUGUUGGGCCUCCGUCCUCCUCCCGGGGGACGGGCCCGAAAGGCAGCGGCGGCACCGCGUCCGGUCCUCGAGCGUAUGGGGCUUCGUCACCCGCUCUUGUAGGCCCGGCCGGCGCUUGCCGACACAUCAAUCUUUUUUCCAGGUUGACCUCGGAUCAGGUAGGGAUACCCGCUGAACUUAAGCAUAUCAAUAAGCGGAGGA